GAUGAACGCUGGCGGCGUGCCUAAUACAUGCCAGUCGAGCGAACAGACGAGGAGCUUGCUCCUUUGACGUUAGCGGCGGACGGGUGAGUAACACGUGGAUAACCUACCUAUAAGACUGGGAUCACUACGGGAAAGCGGAGCUAAUACCGGAUAAUAUAUUGAACCGCAUGGUUGAAUAGUGAAUGACGGCUUUGCUGGCAGUUAUAGAUGGAUCCGCGCCGGAUUAGCUGGUUGGUAAGGUACGGCUUACCAAGGCAACGAUGCGUAGCCGAACUGAGAGGGUGAUCGGCCACACUGGAACUGAGACACGGUCCAGACUCCUACGGGAGGCAGCAGUAGGGAAUCUUCCGCAAUGGGCGAAAGCUUGACGGAGCAACGCCGCGUGAGUGAUGAAGGUCUUCGGAUCGUAAAACUCUGUUAUUAGGGAAGAACAAAUGUGUAAGUAACUAUGCACGUCUUGACGGUACCUAAUCAGAAAGCCACGGCUAACUACGUG
rnacentral:rRNA from 1 species